CCCACACGGACAGCUGCAGCUACAAAGCACCCCAGUGACCUAGAUUCAGCUGUAGAUUACUGUCUGCUUUGGCCUGUGCCUCCCAUCGGUGCACCAGGAGUCUGAUUUUGUUGCACAAGCUAACUUGCUUACUGCUCUGACCCAUUUUACCAUAGCAACCUGGUUUGCUGUACCAGAGCCUAGAAAAAGCACACAGGCGACUUUUUCAGGAUUCCAAGAUUAAGUUCACUCUCUGCUAUUUUUUUUCCUUCCCCCCGCCCCCCCAAAUGUGCUUAGCAGACAUGACGAAGAAGAACUGACACUUUCCAACAACACUGGAAGCCAGGAAAAGAUUUAGGCAAGAAGGACUGUCCUUAUCUCCAGGAAAGUAGAUGUUUGAGCUGUUUGGACUGAGCACCCUUUCAAGCACUUCAGCUCUCAUACAAGGGGAAGGUUUCCUACACAACUGGUGGUCAAUGCCUUGAACUGUGUCUGACAAGAAAGUGGUAGCCAAGGUAACAUGGUUCAUGCUCUGGACAGCAACGUAACAUACUCUUGGAGGUUAUAUUUGAUCACUUCACUGGAAAGACUUCAGAGACUAAAAGUUACAGGUUGUGUACAGGUGCAACAACAGCAAGGGUACCUUGCCUGAUGCAACACAUUGAAUAAGAGAAGGAUGAACUGGGCUUCCUAAAAGCAAGGACUGGGGAUUCAGAAGGCAACUGAAGUGAAAAUAAGAAUGGAAACACCAAACUAGGCUUUGUGAAGAGGAACGAAAGGAAGCAAAGACUUUUCUCCUGGGGUCAAGGUGAAGUUGAUGGAGAAAAUGCAAAUGAAUUUAACAGCUCAAACAUCUCUACUCCCUGAUUAGCCCCUUGUGGGAAGUAGCCUUUUCCAGAAUCAACACUACUGAAUGUACUGCUAAAUACUGAUUAUCUGUGAAAAAUUAGACUUGACAUCCUAUUAUAAAGAAGAUUCCCAUUUUUCCAGAGUUGCACCAUAUUAUUCAUAAGGUUAUAAACUACGUAUAUAAUGGGCUUUAUAUUUUACCUUUUGUGUUACAGGAAAAUAUCUAUGGUCAAAUGAAUGCUUCCGAUUUAACAGAUGAAGGAUAUGAUAUUAUUUUAAGCUUCUCAGAGCUUGUGAUGUGACACUGGUAUGUAAAUUUUUAUACAGAAACAGCAAAUAUUAGAUAGUUGUCACAUUUAAUAAUUCGGUAUGUGUAGCAUGAUCUGGUCAAAUAAGACCAAUAUUGGAGGUAUUAGACAGCUGUAAAUCAGAUGGGGCUGUGUUAGCUGAACAGUAAAUAAAAUUUCAGUUUGAUAGUCAUAGUUCUGUCCAGUGUUUUCUAGUAGCCCAAAUAUUUUCAGGAGAAGUAGAAUUUUAAAAUAUGGCAUAAAUACAAAAACAUAGUCAUGCAAAUCGUUUUCAUAUGCCUCCAGUGAAAGACUCCAACAUUUUCUAAUAAUAUUACUUAACCGCUAGAGGCAUUUUUACUCAUCAGACCAUCUUUAGAGUUUAUAAACUCAAGCAUAUAAAAUUAUGGUGCUUGAAAGUACCUGAAGUUGUCCACUAAUAAGUGGACAUUCAGUUUUUUUAAAGGCUUAUGUCCACAUUAACAAGUGUGCAGCUCUGUCAUAAUGGGGGCAUAGAAUGAACAGAAAGCUGAGCACUGGGUGUCUGUACCAUGCAUUUUUUCAGAGGGGGUUACUUUAACUCUCAUCUAGUCCUAUGGAUCAAUUUUAAUUAUGAUUUAGAAAGCAGGAGAGGAAAUAUUUCAGAAUAUCUUUCAUCCUAGCAUCAUCCAAAACCAAAUCUAGUUCAGAUGUUCCGAGACUGUUCUGUGAUACAAACAAACCAUUCAUUGUAACUAAGGAUGCACAAGGAGAUUCCUUUAAAAAUGUACUAACAUGCUAACGGAGAUGCAUCCUGUUUUAAUGAGCAUCAGAAAAUCUGUUUCAUGUGACACAAAAGGCCAAGAAGUUCAGUUUUUGUCAAUUAUUCUUAAAACUCAGGUAAGAAACUUCCUUCCCACUGCAGACAUAACAAAGCUGCCAUGCAUACAGAGCAAGGUCCAAAUAAUAGUAUUGUUGGUUGUAGUUUGAAGCGAGCUAGGCAUGCCUUAUAAAGGUGAAUAUUCUGAAUAUUCUGGUCUCAUUUACACUGUUCUGCUAUGUUCUUCAUGGCAAUUAUUCUGAGGUUAGGGGUCUGGUCACUAGAGAUGACUGCAGUUUAAUGACGUUUGGUUGCCAAUGAGUCAUCUUCUAAAAUUCUUCAUAGCACAGAAAGGAAUAUAAAAGGAUAUUUUUAUUUUUUCCACUUCAUAUAAAAGAAAGCAUAGAGUAAUUUGAGUUUGAAUGGAUCUCAGAAGGCAAUCUGGACUAGACCCUGUUCAAAGCAGGGCUAACUUCAACUGUCUUCCAUGAGAACUAACAUGUGCAAUCAUAAGGCUUUCCCUAGUAGCUUAAAAAAGUAUUUUCCUUUUUCCUUGUCUUGAUUGAGCAGUCUAUAGCAGAUGACCACCAUUAUGCCCACUUGUUAGCUUUGCCUCUGAUCCCAACUCGUGUAUCAGGGCCAUACAAAUCUUCUGCAACUGUGCAACUGCAAAUGGAUAAAGACUCUCCCUCCUCUUGUUAGAAGCAUAAGUUUCCAAAAUUGUCUGUCAUGAAGUCCCAAGUCUCCAUCACCUCUAGCCUAGAUGUUCCUUCUUCUGUAAAAUGCAGAAUGUAGUUUCUUGACAUGACAAGGAUUCAGCAAAGAGCCACUUGGUCUCCUGCUCAUCUUCCCUGGUGCUGCAUAGUCUAGUCAUCUCCAAUAUCAGAUCUUUCACCAGGUAGCUCAGUGAUUUGACCAUAAAACACCUCCCAUUGAUGAGGUGACUAUCUGUGGCAGCCUGUAAAAGCAUCCUAUUAAAAAACGUGUCAUUCAAACUAGUGAUGUUGAAGGAAAUUCAAGUUAUAAACAAGUUUUUAUAUUUAAGACUACUGCUGCCUCUCUGAGAGGCUAAUUUUUUUUCUUGAUUUGUAUUUUAUACAAACCCUCGGACACUUCAAACUCAGAUGCAGAAAUGAUUUCUGUUGAUCUGAAUGUGGAUUUUAAAGAUAAGAAAAAAGCCAAGUGCAGGAACUCUCACUAAGAUAAUCAGCUUUGAUAUAAAGUUUUGUCCUUUCAGAUAAUUUCUCUUUGGUUCCUGGCUUUCACAGUGUCAUUUUAUGUUUCUUGUGAAACAUUUUGUCUCCAGCUGUUUACUACUGCAGGCACAGGCAAUGCUAGUGAAGGUUACAAAGAGCUUCUGACUUUGGGUGCUGGAGAUGCACACAGACCAAGAUGUUACUCUAUUUUUCUGUAAUGCUCAAAGAUGAGCAAAGAGGCAAGACACUAAAAUUGUCAGCGGAGAAGAAGAAAAAAAUCAUCAGAAUCUACAAAAUCCUCAUGUGUACAUAACUAGAAUGCAACGUAAUUUUCUUUCCCAUUUUUAUUCAAAAAAUAAAGCUUAUUUGUUUGUUGCUUAUACCUGUGAAAUUACCUGAAGUAGUGCAAAAAGAAUGUAAUAUAUGCAGAAAACACGGCUGCACUAGAAGAAACAGAGAUUUAAUAAAGUUUAGGAAAUAA